ACGGAAGGCAGCAGUGGGGAAUAUUGCGCAAUGGACGAAAGUCUGACGCAGCAACGCCGCGUGAGGGAUGACGGCCUUCGGGUUGUAAACCUCUUUCAGCAGGGACGAAGCGAGAGUGACGGUACCUGCAGAAGAAGGACCGGCCAACUACGUGCCAGCAGCCGCGGUAAUACGUAGGGUCCGAGCGUUGUCCGGAAUUAUUGGGCGUAAAGGGCUCGUAGGCGGUUCGUCACGUCGGGAGUGAAAACUCGGAGCUUAACUCCGAGCCUGCUUCCGAUACGGGCAGACUAGAGGUAGGCAGGGGAGAGCGGAACUCCUGGUGUAGCGGUGGAAUGCGCAGAUAUCAGGAAGAACACCGGUGGCGAAGGCGGCUCUCUGGGCCUUACCUGACGCUGAGGAGCGAAAGCGUGGGUAGCGAACAGGAUUAGAUACCCUGGUA
rnacentral:rRNA from 1 species